rnacentral:rRNA from 1 species
GACGAACGCUGGCGGCGUGCCUAAUACAUGCAAGUCGAACGCAUUUUCUUUCACCGUAGCUUGCUACACCGAAAGAAAAUGAGUGGCGAACGGGUGAGUAACACGUGGGUAACCUGCCCAUCAGCGGGGGAUAACACUUGGAAACAGGUGCUAAUACCGCAUAAUUCCAUUUACCGCAUGGUGAAUGGAUGAAAGGCGCUUUUGCGUCACUGAUGGAUGGACCCGCGGUGCAUUAGCUAGUUGGUGGGGUAACGGCCUACCAAGGCUGCGAUGCAUAGCCGACCUGAGAGGGUGAUCGGCCACACUGGGACUGAGACACGGCCCAGACUCCUACGGGAGGCAGCAGUAGGGAAUCUUCGGCAAUGGACGCAAGUCUGACCGAGCAACGCCGCGUGAGUGAAGAAGGUUUUCGGAUCGUAAAACUCUGUUGUUAGAGAAGAACAAGGAUGAGAGUGGAAAGUUCAUCCCUUGACGGUAUCUAACCAGAAAGCCACGGCUAACUACGUG